CCUACGGGCGGCAGCAGUGGGGGAUAUUGCACAAUGGGGGGAACCCUGAUGCAGCGACGCCGCGUGGGUGAAGAAGCGCCUCGGCGCGUAAAGCCCUUUCAGCAGGGGAGAAAAUGACGGUACCUGUAGAAGAAGCCCCGGCUAACUACGUGCCAGCAGCCGCGGUAAUACGUAGGGGGCAAGCGUUAUCCGGAUUUACUGGGUGUAACGGGGGCGCAGACGGCGAUGCAAGCCAGGCGUGAAAGCCCGGGGCCCAACCCCGGGACUGCUCUUGAAACUGGGUGGCUGGAGUGCAGGAGGGGGAGGCGGAAUUCCUGGUGUAGCGGUGAAAUGCGUAGAUAUCAGGAGGAACACCGGUGGCGAAGGCGGCCUGCUGGACUGCAACUGACGUUGAGGCCCGAAAGCGUGGGGAGCAAACAGGAUUAGAUACCCCUGUAGUC
rnacentral:rRNA from 1 species